UAUAAUGUGGCGUAGUGGUUUAAGCGUUGGACUACAACUCUGGAGACCGGGGUUCAAUUCCCUGCUCAGCCA